rnacentral:rRNA from 1 species
AUUGAACGCUGGCGGAAUGCUUUACACAUGCAAGUCGAACGGCAGCACGGGGGCAACCCUGGUGGCGAGUGGCGAACGGGUGAGUAAUACAUCGGAACGUGCCCGGUCGUGGGGGAUAACGUAGCGAAAGUUACGCUAAUACCGCAUACGAUCUGAGGAUGAAAGCGGGGGACCUUCGGGCCUCGCGCGAUCGGAGCGGCCGAUGUCAGAUUAGGUAGUUGGUGGGGUAAAGGCCUACCAAGCCGGCGAUCUGUAGCUGGUCUGAGAGGACGACCAGCCACACUGGGACUGAGACACGGCCCAGACUCCUACGGGAGGCAGCAGUGGGGAAUUUUGGACAAUGGGCGCAAGCCUGAUCCAGCCAUUCCGCGUGCAGGACGAAGGCCUUCGGGUUGUAAACUGCUUUUGUAUGGAACGAAAAGGCUCUGGCUAAUACCUGGGGCUCAUGACGGUACCGUAAGAAUAAGCACCGGCUAACUACGUG